GAUGAACGCUGGCGGCGUGCCUAAUACAUGCAAGUCGAGCGAACGGUCGAGAAUUUUGCUUCUCUGAUGUUAGAGGCGGACGGGUGAGUAACUCGUGGAUAACAUACCUCUAAGACUGUGAUAACUUCGGGAAACCGGCGCUAAUACCGGAUAAUAUUUUGAACCGCAUGGUUCAAAAGUGAAAGACGGUCUUGCUGUCACUUAUAGCUUGCUCCGCGCUGCAUUCGCUAGUUGGUAAGGUAACUGCUUACCAAAGCAACGAUGCAUACCCGACCUGAGAGGGUGGUCGGAUACACGGGAAGUGAGAAACGGUACAGACACUUAGGGGAGGAAGCAGUAGAGAAUCUUCCGCAAGGGGGGAAAGGGGGACGGAGCAAAGCGGGGGGAGCGAUGAAGGUGCUAGGAUCGGAAAACGAUGUAAGUAGGGAAGAAGAUAUGUGUAAGUAACGGGGAAGAUAAUGACGGUACCUAAUCAGAAAGCCACGGCUAACUACGUG
rnacentral:rRNA from 1 species